rnacentral:rRNA from 1 species
AGCCUGAACGCUGGCGGCGUGGCUAAGACAUGCAAGUCGUACGGUGUAGCAAUACACAGUGGCGAACGGGAGAGUAAUGAAUCGCUAAUGUGCCCCGGACUCUGGGAUAGCUAGUUGAAAGAUUAGGUAAUACCAGAUGAUAUAUCUUUAUCGCAUGAUAGAGAUCUCAAAGGUCCGCCGGUCUGGGAGCAGGCGAUUUCGUAUCAGCUAGUUGGUGAGGUAACGGCUCACCAAGGCGACGACGCGUAGCCGGACUGAGAGGUUGGCCGGCCUCAUUGGGACUGAGACACUGCCCAGACUCCUACGGGGGGCUGCAGUAACGAAUCUUCCGCAAUGCACGAAAGUGUGACGGAGCGACGCCGCGUGUGGGACGAAGUCCUUCGGAUGUAAACCACUGUCGAGGGGUUACCAAGUUCUGAGGAGCCCGAGAGGAAGGGACGGCUAACUCUGCGCAGCAGCCGCGU